rnacentral:rRNA from 1 species
AAAUUGAAGAGUUUGAUCAUGGCUCAGAUUGAACGCUGGCGGCAGGCCUAACACAUGCAAGUCGAGCGGAAACGAGUUAUCAGAACCUUCGGGGGACGAUAACGGCGUCGAGCGGCGGACGGGUGAGUAAUGCCUAGGAAAUUGCCCUGAUGUGGGGGAUAACCAUUGGAAACGAUGGCUAAUACCGCAUGAUGCCUACGGGCCAAAGAGGGGGACCUUCGGGCCUCUCGCGUCAGGAUAUGCCUAGGUGGGAUUAGCUAGUUGGUGAGGUAAGGGCUCACCAAGGCGACGAUCCCUAGCUGGUCUGAGAGGAUGAUCAGCCACACUGGAACUGAGACACGGUCCAGACUCCUACGGGAGGCAGCAGUGGGGAAUAUUGCACAAUGGGCGCAAGCCUGAUGCAGCCAUGCCGCGUGUGUGAAGAAGGCCUUCGGGUUGUAAAGCACUUUCAGUCGUGAGGAAGGUAGUGUAGUUAAUAGCUGCAUUAUUUGACGUUAGCGACAGAAGAAGCACCGGCUAACUCCGUGCCAGCAGCCGCGGUAAUACGGAGGGUGCGAGCGUUAAUCGGAAUUACUGGGCGUAAAGCGCAUGCAGGUGGUUUGUUAAGUCAGAUGUGAAAGCCCGGGGCUCAACCUCGGAAUUGCAUUUGAAACUGGCAGACUAGAGUACUGUAGAGGGGGGUAGAAUUUCAGGUGUAGCGGUGAAAUGCGUAGAGAUCUGAAGGAAUACCGGUGGCGAAGGCGGCCCCCUGGACAGAUACUGACACUCAGAUGCGAAAGCGUGGGGAGCAAACAGGAUUAGAUACCCUGGUAGUCCACGCCGUAAACGAUGUCUACUUGGAGGUUGUGGCCUUGAGCCGUGGCUUUCGGAGCUAACGCGUUAAGUAGACCGCCUGGGGAGUACGGUCGCAAGAUUAAAACUCAAAUGAAUUGACGGGGCCCGCACAAGCGGUGGAGCAUGUGGUUUAAUUCGAUGCAACGCGAAGAACCUUACCUACUCUUGACAUCCAGAGAACUUUCCAGAGAUGGAUUGGUGCCUUCGGGAACUCUGAGACAGGUGCUGCAUGGCUGUCGUCAGCUCGUGUUGUGAAAUGUUGGGUUAAGUCCCGCAACGAGCGCAACCCUUAUCCUUGUUUGCCAGCGAGUAAUGUCGGGAACUCCAGGGAGACUGCCGGUGAUAAACCGGAGGAAGGUGGGGACGACGUCAAGUCAUCAUGGCCCUUACGAGUAGGGCUACACACGUGCUACAAUGGCGCAUACAGAGGGCAGCCAACUUGCGAAAGUGAGCGAAUCCCAAAAAGUGCGUCGUAGUCCGGAUUGGAGUCUGCAACUCGACUCCAUGAAGUCGGAAUCGCUAGUAAUCGUGGAUCAGAAUGCCACGGUGAAUACGUUCCCGGGCCUUGUACACACCGCCCGUCACACCAUGGGAGUGGGCUGCAAAAGAAGUAGGUAGUUUAACCUUCGGGGGGACGCUUACCACUUUGUGGUUCAUGACUGGGGUGAAGUCGUAACAAGGUAGCGCUAGGGGAACCUGGCGCUGGAUCACCUCCUUAUACGAUGAU